rnacentral:rRNA from 1 species
GUGUCAGCCGCCGCGGUAAUACGUAGGUAGCGAGCGUUAUCCGGAAUUAUUGGGCGUAAAGGGUGCGUAGGCGGCUUGUUAAGUUUAAGGUGAAAGCGUGGGGCUCAACCCCAUAAAGCCUUAGAUACUGGCAAGCUAGAGUACUGGAGAGGGUAGUGGAAUUCCAUGUGUAGCGGUAAAAUGCGUAGAUAUAUGGAGGAACACCGGUGGCGAAGGCGGCUACCUAGACAGAGACUGACGCUGAUGCACGAAAGCGUGGGGAGCAAAUAGGAUUAGAUACCCUAGUAGUCCACGCUGUAAACGAUGAAUACUAGGUAUCGGGGCAACUCGGUGCCGCAGUUAACACGAUAAGUAUUCCGCCUGUGGAGUAUGCACGCAAGUGUGAAACUCAAAGAAAUUGACGG